UUUUUUUUUUUUUUUUUUGGUUCAGAGCCAAACCAACUGAUUGCACACCCCUAGUUUGGCUUCCUUCCCAGCUAAGUUGAGACUCACUGAUAAAACUUUGUUGCAUGAUUAGCAAGUUGGUUUCUCUUUUGGUGCCUUGAUUGUUCUAAUGGUAAUAAAAAUUGAUUUAUGAUCUAUUUUCUGCCCUUCAUUAUAUGAAUUUAUUUAACCAUUGAGUUGGAUUUUUCAACAUAAUUUCCAUUUGAGUUUCUUACGCUUGCUUGAUCAUCAAUGAUAAAUAACAAUGUAUGAUAGGCAUUUUAUUGUCUUAAAAAUUAAAUGUUGUUUUUGUUCUUGGCGUUUGAUGAAGAAAUGGGAGUAGAGAAUUUUUGACAAUUGCUCUCUGUCAGAUGGGUCCUGGUGAGGUAGAUGAUG
rnacentral:misc_RNA from 1 species